GGCGGGAUGGUGGAAUUGGUAUACACAUGGCACUCAAAAUGCCACGCCGAAAGGCAUGGGGGUUCAAGUCCCCCUCCCGCUACCA
rnacentral:tRNA from 2 species